AUUGAACGCUGGCGGCAGGCCUAACACAUGCAAGUCGAACGAGUGGCGGACGGGUGAGUAAUGUCUGGGACCCUGCCUGAUGGCGGGGGAUAACUACUGGAAACGGUAGCUAAUACCGCAUACCAUCAGAUGUGCCAAGUUGGGGUUAGCUUGUUGGUGGGGUAACGGCUCACCAAGUCGCCGAUCCCUAGCUGGCCUGCGAGGAUGACCAGCCACACUGGAACUGAGACACGGUCCAGACUCCUACGGGAGGCAGCAGUGGGGAAUAUUGCGCAAUGGGCGCAAGCCUGAUGCAGCCAUGCCGCGUGUAUGAAGAAGGCCUUCGGAUUGUAAAGUACUUUCAUCGGGGAGGCGUUACCCGCAGAAGAAGCACCGGCUAACUCCGUGCCAGCAGCCGCGGUAAUUC
rnacentral:rRNA from 1 species